rfam:Otolemur garnettii contig138798, whole genome shotgun sequence.
UUGCUCACUUUGGCAUCACAUAUACUAAAAUUUGAAAUAUUCAGAGAUGAUUAACAUGGCCCUUGCCCAUGGGUGACAUAAAAUUCCAUUAAUAACACUAAACAGUA